rnacentral:tRNA from 1 species
GGGCGAGUAGCUCAGCGGGAGAGCACCUGGCUUACAUCCAGGAGGUCAUAGGUUCGAGUCCUAUCUCGCCCACCA